GGAAAGUGGCUGAUGGGGGUAGCGAGCGCUCCCCCUGCACCUCACCGCCUCCCAGCAGGAUCUGGGGCUCUCCUUCUGCACCGGAACCGCUUCCCAGAGAGAUUCACUUAGUGAAGAGGGGCCCAAAGCUGGAGAUAUCGAGGGAGCUAACUCCCAAUCCCACUCCUUACCUGUUUUUUCAGUCCUCUUUUGUCUUCAUUCAAAUCGGCUCGCCUUCUCGGAGCAAACCAGUUCGAAGAGAAGAUUCGACUUGUGAUAAGAGCCCGGUUUGGGGAGGGGGAAACUGGACCCUUAAGUGGGCAUACAUGGCAUCUGGAGCACUUUGCAAUUGAACGGAGGUCCCUAAGGUUUUUUUGAGCCCCCACUGCAGCGCCUAUGAUCCAUAUCUGGUCCUUGCUUCCUUCUGCAGUCUGUUUUAAGCGAAGCAGGUCGAGAAAUUGAAGGAGAUGAAAGAGAAGUCUUCACCCAAUGGCUCGCGGCGUACACCCAGAGAAAAUCCAGGUCAGAAGGAUCCGUAGAACGAGCAGGUAAGAACAAGAGAAAGGUAAGGGAGGAGGAGGAGGAGAAUCAAGGUGAACAAGGAGAACAACCGAAGGAACAGAGCAGGGAAACCACUAAAAAGCAAAUAGCUGAUUUACAGAAGGAUGUAGAAAGCCUUAAGGAACUCCUGUUCCUUUAUGCUUUAGACAGCAUAUCUGAGCCUCUAGAAUCACCUGAGGCACCCAUCCCUCAAUUCCCCUUUAAAAUUAAGG
rnacentral:lncRNA from 1 species